rfam:Rattus norvegicus chromosome 17, whole genome shotgun sequence.
CAAAAGGCCCUUUUCAGGGCCACCCACGAACUCAUUCAAAGGGUUG